AUUGAACGCUGGCGGCAUGCCUAACACAUGCAAGUCGAACGGCAGCACAGUUCGUAGCAAUACGAAUGGGUGGCGAGUGGCGGACGGGUGAGUAAUACGUAGGGAUCUACCUCAAAGCGGGGGACAACCCGGGGAAACUCGGGCUAAUACCGCAUACUACUCUGAGGAGGAAAGCUAGGGCAACCUGGCACUUUGAGAGGAGCCUACGUCCGAUUAGCCAGUUGGUGAGGUAAAGGCUUACCAAGGCGAUGAUCGGUAGCUGGUCUGAGAGGAUGACCAGCCACACUGGGACUGAGACACGGCCCAGACUCCUACGGGAGGCAGCAGUGGGGAAUCUUGGACAAUGGGGGCAACCCUGAUCCAGCAAUGCCGCGUGUGUGAAGAAGGCCUUCGGGUUGUAAAGCACUUUAGGUUGGGAAGAAGGCGUGUGGUUGAAUAGGCCAUACGAUUGACGGUACCAUCAGAAUAAGCACCGGCUAACUCUGUGCCAGCCGCCGCCGUAAGAC
rnacentral:rRNA from 1 species